rnacentral:rRNA from 1 species
CAAUAGCGUAUAUUUAAGUUGUUGCAGUUAAAAAGCUCGUAGUUGGAUUUCGGUUAAGAGCGACCGGUCCGCCGUUUGGUGUGCACUGGUUGGUUUUAACUUCCUGUAGAGGACGUGCUCUGGGUUUAACGACCUGGACUCGGAGUCUACGUGGUUACUUUGAAAAAAUUAGAGUGUUCAAAGCGGGCUUACGCUUGAAUAUUUCAGCAUGGAAUAACACUAUAGGACUCCUGUCCUAUUUCGUUGGUCUCGGGACGGGAGUAAUGAUUAAGAGGAACAGUUGGGGGCAUUCGUAUUUCAUUGUCAGGGGUGAAAUUCUUGGAUUUAUGAAAGACGAACUUCUGCGAAAGCAUUUGCCAAGGAUGUUUUCAUUAA